GCUGGGACACAGCUCGGCGGUGUCCCCAGCAGUACAAUCUGCCCAUGGCUGGGGGAUGUUCUGGGGAUGGUGCAGAAACCCAGCCGCUCUCUCAGAGCUGGGCUGGCUCUGCAGGUCCAAUACCAAUGGCUCGGGUCUGUCACUAAGGGGUGUGUAGAAUCCAGAGGGCAUUCACUCACGUCAGCUCAGCGAUCGCCCCAUGGCCCCCUUACCUGACUGGUGAUGUCAGAUGGCAUCGGAGAAGGCGGCUUGGAGUACGUGGCAUCCUGGGAGAUGAAGCCAGAGUCGUGGGAGGAGACGCUGGACAGGCGGGUGUUGGCAUUAACCGGCUGCGCCAGGCUGCGGUAGCGAUAGGUGGAACCUGGGUCUUGGCGACAUUUCACCAUGCAUUCUUCUCCCUGUGCCUGAGGACCUGAGCUCAGGCCAGGUAUUUGGCGUUAUCAGCUGAGCACUCAAGCACUUACACAAUGAGAUUCUCAUCGGCAGCCUCAGCUCCACAGCCAUGUCAAGAAAGAAUUCAUUUCCACUGGCUCCCCCUCCCCACGCCCAAGAGCAUCACCUUGCCCAGCUGCUCCUAACUCAACUUCCCACAGAUAUGGAUCAAGGAGCUUGACUUUAUGCACCAAGUCUGGAAAUGUUGCUCUUAGCCACUCCGUGCCUCAGUUUCCCCAUCUGUAAAAUGGGGACAACACUCCAUCUCUCCCUCCCAGAGGGGCAGGGACAAUGAAGGAGGGUUGUAGCAGGAGAAUCCCAGAGGGGCUGCUGAGGGCAGAGCCAGGACUCCCCAUAACACAUCGCUUUGUGGAUUCUGGAGAACUUCAGGUUGCAGAGCUUCUCCGAGGCAGCUCUGGGGCAGGCCGCCAUGCUGGAGAGGAGCUGCUGGCCACAAAGAGCAGCCCCAAAGAGAGAGGGCACAGAGGUGGCUUAAUGCGACUUGCCUUGAGGCUGCACCUACUGGAGGUGCAGCCCUGAUUUCAACCUUGGCGUUUGUGAAGUGCUACAGGUGUGCUAAAACCCACCAGCACGCACAGCCCUCUGGGCCCCAGCCUGUUGGGACAACUCUUCCCUGGAAAGCUUUUUGGGAUGUCUCGAGCCUAUGCCCAGACCUCCCCACCCCAUGGGGGCACCUCUCCUGCAGCAGGCGAGACAAGACUCAGAGAGCCUCCUUCUCCCACCCCGCUUGUACAAAAAUGGAGUCAGUUAAGAAGCGGGGAUGCCAAAGAAUCAUCCUGCAGACUCUCUCUGUCCUCUAGCUGGUCCUGGGCACUCAGGAGUGACUUUCUUGGAUCAGAAUCACCAAUCCCAAGGACUCAACAAUCAUGGGUCUGUCCCCCAAAAUCACAAGAUCGGGCUCGAAAUCAUGAGAUUUCAAAAUACAAUCAAUGUUGGGUUCUUUAUCAGCCUUCUGCUGCUGGGGACUUUAGGGGAUCCCGUCAUAGAUUUCAAGGCUAGAUGGGGCCAUCAGGUCAUCCGUCUGACCUCCUGUACCUCACAGGCCACCAGCAGCACCCUGCACUCGUGCACUGACCCAGCGACUGAAAGUAAGCCGAGUACCACAGCUCCCAGGAGACGAACCUGCUGCCUGCCACAGGCAGCGAACAGGAGGGAGAGAGGCGUACCCUGCGCCCGUGGUCCCUGCAAUGCCUGGGAAUAGAUCAGCUGAGAUACACCGUGACCCCGAUGGUCCCGGCAAACAACCCACACUUCACGCUGCAGGGGAAAGCAAAACACCUGAAGGUCCCAGAUAAUCUGACACGGGGGAAAAUUCCUUCCCGUCCCCAAAUAUGUUUUCAAGCUUUUCUCAGAACCCAUCGGGACUAGAAAAACGUCCCUUUUUCUGUGAAAUGAAAGCCGAGCUGAUGGCUACACAUAAAACAAGACAGUGAUACUGCUACUUAGCUACUGCUCUUUGGGGGGAGGGGUAUUUUCCGGGUCUCUUUUCAGUGGAGGCCAGCCCUCAAAUUCUCCCCAUCUCACGGGGGGGCUUUCAGAAAAACACCAAAUCUUACAGGACUCAUGAUAAAACUGCUCUGUAAGGCCACACAACACCGCCAAGGCUGGCUCUGGCCAAACCGAUCUCAGCCUGCUCUGCCGACCAGGAGCGGAACUAUGCAGAAACAAGACAGACGACACCUCCUCGCUGCGAGAGAACCUGGGUGGGCAGCGAAUGCAGCAGGCGGCCGCGCUGCACUUUCCCUUGCCUGUCCCUGUCCCUGUGGCCCCUGCAGUAUGCAGCUUUCUGCAGUUUAGCUUGACGAAGACUUGCCCCAGGUCAUCCAUGAGUCGAGGGAGACUCGGACUUGCAAUGCUGUCCACAGCACAGGGCGCUCUGAGAGACGACUGCACGCGCACAAAGCCCAGCCAGAAAGGUCCCUGGGACGCACUGUGCUGCUGCAAAUCUUGUCCAGCGUUGGAGACAGUCUUCCUGUUUAAAACUAAGCAGGGUUUGUCUCCCAUGGGAGGAGGGCUGCUAGGGGGUGGCUGGAGUAGCGCAGUGGCUCUCAAACGUUUGUCCUGGUGACCCCUUUCACAUAGCAAGCCUCUGACUGCGACCCCCCUUAUAAACUAAAAACACUUUUUAAUAUAUUUAACACAGUUAUAAAUGCUGGAGGCAAAGCUGACAGUUUGCUACCCCCCCAUGUAAUCAACUCCCAACCCCACAGUUUGAGAACCCCUGGAGUAGAGGGCAGGGAGGUGAACCAAGGUUUGUCAGCAGGGAGGACGAGAGGCGAGAAAGCUGCUCAUUCCUUUCUCCUCUUUUCUCUUUACUUUGCCUCCCUUUCUCUUCUCUCCUCUGCUCUUCCUGUCAUCCUCUCCCACUCUUAGGCACCGAUCCUGCGUAUGCUGGGACUCUCUGCAAGCAGAAAGCCACCCAGGGCUGCAUUCCCUCUCAGUCCUUAGCUUUCUUCUAGUUCCCACCCAACACCCUGCCGCAAUCCAUUGGGGCAGGAGAGGGGAGAAGAAAGGAGACCACUAGCUUCCAGGCCUGCUCAAUAGCCCCUUGCAUGUGGCUAGCCAUAGACUCGUCACCUGCAGCCUCCCCAUGGAUCUGGUGCUACGGGGCCGUCUCCAUUUGAGAGAGGAGGGCUGAUUCCCAGCUCACUUAGACAUUCCCACGCUAGCUCUGCUCAAGCUGGCAUGCUAAAAAUGGCAGGGUAGCUGAGAUAGCACCGGCAGAGCUCAGGCCAGCCCCCCUGAGUCCAGACCUGCCCAGACUCUGGGUACACACCUGGGCAGCUAGCCAGACCUGCUGCCACAGCCGCACGGCUCCUGCUGCAUAAGCUGGGAAUCACAGAGCCCAGCUCACCUGCAGGCCUCCAAGACACGCAGGGCAGGGCUGGCGGGAGGGAGGAGCUUGCUCCCUGGCAGGGCACCCGCAGGGCUGGGUGGCAACAUUACUGUGGGUUGAUCUGGGGGGUUUCUUCUGAUGCAGCCUACUAGCAGUGACACUAGCUGACCUACUGGAGGCCCCUGCACGGGGCCAGGCUGCUGGGCUUUGCAGCCAGUCAGGGUGAAACCCCCUGUUUUUGUACAAUAACCAGCGACCCGGGGCACAGAUGGGUCUUGAAAUAAGGGACAUGUGGUUCUCAGAUCCAUCCAUAAAUGCCAGAGAUGGGAUUCCCUCCUCCACGGGGCCCUAGCUGCUGCGACAGGGAGAGAGGAGUGAGGAGUGUGGGUAUACGCCUGCUCAGUUCCCCCAAAGCCGAGGGAAAUGCCAGCUGGUCGGCCUUGGUGCAAGAUAUGCGAGGGCUGGGUGGAAAGGACAGCCUGGGCUGUAACUUCAGGAGGCAGCCAGGCACAAAUGGAUCUUUGUCCCUGCGGGAUGCUGCUCUACACAGCGCAUAUGCUACAAAGGGAGAAUUUAUCACAGCACGGCUUAGGGGAGGUAGGAACUCCUGUGUCCAAUCCUGGCCCAGACUCCCGACUCGUUGCAUAACCGUAGGCUAGUCAUAGAAUCUCAGGGUUGGAAGGGACCUCAGGAGGUAUCUAGUCCAACCCCCUGCUCAAAGCAGGACCAAUCCCCAGUUUUUGCCCCAGAUCCCUAAAUGGCCCCUUCAAGGGUUGAACUCACAACCCUGGGUUUAGCAGGCCAAUGCUCAAACCACUGGGCUAUCCCUCCCCUGUCACUUUAACCGCCCUGGGGGCCAGCUUCCCUACCUGUAUAACAGCUAAAUACCAACCUCGGGGAGACUGAGAGCCUUACAGGAGAAAACAACCAGGCUUGCCUCCUUCUGGCGGAGAAAGCAGGCCUGAAGAAAGGGUUUUGUCCAACAGAAAAGUGCUUGUUUUUUUAACCCUUGGAAAUUCAGGGUCUGUCUAGGCUGGGAGCUUCCCCAGUGACAUGAGAACUCGUGAAGAGCCAAGAGAGAAGGUGAGAAGCUGAAUGGAGAAACUAUUUUCCAUCGACUAUUUAAAACUCUCCAGACCUAGUUCUCCUCUGACUCACGCUGGCGUAAAUCAGGAGUAACUGCAUUGAAUUCAGUGGAGUUACACGGGUAAAACUGUGGUCAGUAAGAAGAUACUCAGGGCCUUUGCUUUCAGUUUUGCUUUUGUUAAAAUACAAUUAACUCCAAUGCCUAGUGCACACUUGGGAGGAAGGACGUCUUUGCUAAAAUACAGCUCUUGGAGGGAGCCCAGGCUGUGGGACACUCAGGGGGGGUCGAGCAAAGCCAGACUGGAAUUCCUGAGAUUCUGAAGGUAGAAAAACAAGCAGGAUUGAUUUUAUUUUCCUACUAAGCCUGGUCAGGCUUUUCUUCUUCAUUACAAAGGAGCAAGCAAAAGGGCAAAAGCUCAUUUGCAGAAACCCAUAUGCAGGCUCCUGUUGGUUAACAAAUGUUCCGAAAGGGCUUCGAGAUCCGGGGCUGAAAGGUGCUGGGGUUAUUACUGGGAAGUGUCCUGUUAGCACCGGACAGAUCGCCAAACAGGCUCGCCUACCUUUGCACUGAAAGCAUGGAGGGAUUUGCAACACUGCCUCCUGCUUCCCACAUUCCCCUAGCCAUCUAGGAAGCCAGCCCCUGCAGCCGUGUACCCAGCCCCUUCCAGGCUGACCAGCUUAAAUGCUCUGUUUCCAGGCAAGUUGCCAUCUUAAGCCAUGGUAUCUCUACUGAUUCAACAGUGAUAGGUGCCCCAGAAAUGCCCAUCAAUAGAUCAGAUCCCCACAGAGUUGGCUUCUCUAUGGAUGUUGGAGAGGUCCCCAGACCCUAGUCCUAGAGACACCACAACAGGCAGUGAUGCUGUCCUGAACCAUGGUGCCCUUCCUGGGGUGGAGAGCUGAUGCAUCUCGGUUCCCUGUGUUUCAGCCAGGACACGGGCUCCUUUUACAAUUGGUUCUACACGAUCUCCUUUGUGCAGCCUCUCUCUCCCCCACGUAGUUGGGGAUUUCACCGUGUGACAAAGCAGGCAGUGUGCGUGGGGGGACUGGAAGAGGGGGAGUCCAGGAUGUCUGGUCCAGGACUCCCAACACGGCCUUGGCUGAAAGUCACUGAUGUCUGUAAUAGCAAGCUCUGUUCCUCACUGUGUUCCUGUCGACUAAUAAACCUUCUGUUUUACUGUCUGGCUGAGAGUCACGUCUGACUGCAGAGCUGGGGUGCAGGGCCCUCUGGCUUCCCCAGGAGCCCCCGCCCAGGCGGACUUGCUGCGGGAAGCACAUGGUGUGGAAGGGGAUGCUGAAUGCUCCGAGGUCAGACCUAGGAAGGUGGAAGCUGUGGAAGCUUCUUGCCCUGGCGACAGUCUGCUCAGAGAGAGGAGGCUCCCCCAGAGUCCUGACUGGCUUCGUAUGGAGCAGUUCCAGAGCAGCGCCCCGGUGACUCUGUGACAACUGGUGGGAUCAACUGCACCCCGUGGACAGCGCAGCCUGCCGUAAGUGACUGGGGAGCAGCAGAACAAAGGGGGAAGAGCAGGGGAUUAGCUGAAGGCUCCAAGAGGUGCGGUUCCACGAGGCGGAGGAGCCUAUGGUUUAAACCCGAGAGAGGGUGGGACCCCCAAGAAGGGCUGUGGCACUGAAGGGAGCUGAGAGGGAGCUGAGAGAGCACAGGCCUGUGAGUCCGUGACCACUUGUGAACAGCGUGAAGAUGGCCUAUAACCAUCUCCUUAAGGAGGACAUUGUAGACCUGUGCAGAGAGAGAGGGCUGCACAUUGGAAGAUUCACCAAGGCACAGCUGAUUGCUUGGUUGGAAGAGAAUGAUCGCUCUAAGGAGCUGGUUCCUGACCCAGCUGGGGCCACGAGAGAGAGUCAGGAAGCCCCAGGGGUCACCCCAGCCACUGACCCAACUGGUGACGCGGGAGGGGCUAAAAGCAGCUAGGCAGCCCCAUGAUCCACCUUCCCAACCAGCAGUGGGAAGUUCACGGCCGAGUUCCCCGUUAGUGGAGCUGAGACGGUUGGAGUUGGAAAUGGAACUGAAACAGAAGGAGCAGGAGGACCGUGAGAGACAGAGGCAGCAUGAACUGGUGAUGGUGGAGCUGAGAAGCAGAGAGAUCCCUACCGUGCUGAGUGGGGAUGGUCCCAGGGUGGCUAAGCCCACAGGGAACUCCGAUACCAAAGUACUGCCUCAGUUUAAGGAAGAGGAUGAUAGAUGCCUUCCUCACUGCCUUUGAGAAGGCCUGCAAUGUGCACCAGGUUGACCCUGCAGACAGGCUUCGGCAUCUCACCCCCUUACUGGGUCCCAAAGCCAUAGAGAUGUUCAGCCAGAUGGAUGGGGUGGAAGCCGGGGACUAUGAACUGUUCAAACAAGCCCUGCUGCGCAAGUUUGAGCUGACCCCGGGGCGUACAGGAAAAUGUUCUGGAGAAUGCAGAAGACCCAGGGGAUGACCUAUCUGGAACUGGUCACGCUGAUGGGGGAAUACACACGCAAGUGGGUGAAUGGGGCCAGGGCCCAGACCAAGGAGGACGUGAUUGAACUGAUGAUGUGGCUGGUGGACAAGAGGCUGAAGGACCUGCACCAUGUGGGGCUUCUGGCUGACGAGUUUGUAGACAGCAGGUCAGGAUAUGGAAUGGAAUCCCAGGUGGACAGGCCCACAUCAGUGCAGAAAGGGGGUCACCCAGGGGAUUUCCAGAAGGGAGUCUUGGAUAAAUCCCUUCUGAGAGGCACAGCCAAUACGCGAGCUGACCAACCGGUCCCAGGGGACCAAAGGGACCUGAGGUGUAAUUACUGUGGGCAGAGGGGCCACAGAUGGGCCCAGUGCAAAAGCUCAGGGACAGGAUGAGCAAUCCAAGCCCUCAAAGGGUUAACUGGGUGGGAGCCCACCUGGAGGAGGGGCUGGCUCCCCAGGCAGAAGGGGCUGGCAGUUUAGCAAUGGUCCAAGAGGGAGGAGUCUCCCAGGCCAGCUCCUGGGGGGGCUUGAUACUCUGGAUUCAAACUUCUCAGUCUACAGGGUGGGUGUGGGGCAGCCCCUGAGGAGCGAGUGCCUCAUUCCCCUGGAAGUGGAUGGGAAGCAGGUCACUGGGUACUGGGACACGGGCGCUGAGGUGAUGCUGGCCCGGCCCAAGGUGGUGGCCCCAGACCGGGUAGUGCUCAUCACUACCUGACCCUGACUGGUGUGUGCGGGCCCCCAUUUAAGGUACCCACGGCAAGGGUACAUCUGAAAUGGGUGACCAAGGAGGGGCCCAAAGACAUGGGGGUGCACCAUCAGUUGCCAACCGAGGUGCUGAUGGGGGGUGACCUGCUGUAUUGGUCUGGUGACCCCCAGAGCACCCUAGUCAUCACCUGUAGCCAGGGCCAGUGAAGGACACUCUGCCUGUAACCCCUGCCAGAGGGUGGGGAAGGACCUGGACAAGGGGAAAGCAGCUUGGAGGCCCCUGCCCAUCAUAGAGGAGCCUUUCCAGAAGGUGGCUGUGGACAUAGUGGGACCCCUCAGCAAGGCAACUCGGACAGGGAAAAAAUACAUUCUGGUGGUGGUAGAUUUCGCUACUUGCUAUCCUGAGGCAAUGGCCUUGUCCCCUAUCGAGGCAGACACUGUGGCAGAUGCGCUGCUGACCAUUUUCAGCACAGUGGGGUUCCCCAAGGAGGUCCUUACAGAACAGGGCUCCAAUUUCAUGUUAACUCUGCUCCAGUCCUUGUGGGAGAAAUGUGGGGUCUGGCACAACUGGGCCUCAGCAUAUCACCCUCAGUCCAGCAGGCUGGUGGAGAGGUUCAGUGGGACCCUAAAGAUGAUGCUGAAAACAUUUAUGGACCAGCACCCUCAGGUAUUUACCCCACCUGUUGUUCGCCUAUCGGGAAGUGCCUGUGGAAGUAGAUAAAGGGAAUUUGGAUGCAGGCCUCUAUAUUGAGCAGGAGUUGGGCUAACUCUAGCUUUAAUGACGUGAGAUUUGUAGAAGCGGGGAUAGUGCGAAGCGAGUGGGAAACAACUGUGAAAGAGGCUGGUGUGGCCUUGUAUGAGAUAAGAAGAGAAUGUCGAGGACAAGAGAAAUUAUAAGAAAAAUAAGAGAUCAUGAAGAAAUAUAUACAACCAAUAUGCAGCUGUUGCUUAUUAUUGUCUGUAACAAAGGUAGAAAUACUUGCUCUAAUUGUUUAUCUUGGAGAGACUGGCCUAGGUGGGGGAAACCCUGUGUCCCAGUGCACUCUCUCCCUCUGUGCAAUUGCUUGAGAUAAUAAAGUGUAUCGGACUUGCUGCACCCAA